GAUGAACGCUGGCGGCGUGCCUAACACAUGCAAGUCGAACGAACAGACGCUGCGCUUGUUCCUCGGACGUUAGCGGAGCACGGGAGAGUAACGCGUGGAAAACCCCCUUGUAAGACUGGUAAAACUAGGGGACACGGGAGCUAAUACCGUAUAAUCUAUUGAAGCGCAGGGUGGAAUAGUAAAAUACGGUUUUUCGGUCAGGUAUAGCGGGUUCUGCGCCGCAUUAGGUGGUGGGUACGGUAACGGCUUAAGACGGCAACGAUGCGUGACCGACCUGAGAGGGGGAUCGGCCACACGGGAACGGAGACACGGACCAGACUCCUACGGGAGGCAGCAGUAGGGAAUCUUCCGCAAUGGGCGAAAGCCUGACGGAGCAACGCGGCGUGAGUGAUGAAGGUCUUCGGAUCGUAAAACUCUGUUAUUAGGGAAGAACAAAUGUGGAAGUAACUAUGCACGUCUUGACGGUACCUAAUCAGAAAGCCACGGCUAACUACGUG
rnacentral:rRNA from 1 species